rnacentral:tRNA from 1 species
AUUCCUAUAGUGAAGGGGUUUCACACUUGCUACUGUGUUGCAGGAGACCCAGGUUCGACUCCUGGUGGGAAUC